GUACUCCGCCUGAGUAGUACGUACGCAAGUAUGAAACUUAAAGGAAUUGACGGGAUCCCGCACAAGCGGUGGAUCAUGUUGUUUAAUUCGAAGAUACACGAAAAACCUUACCAGGUCUUGACAUAUUCUGCGAAGCUAUAGAAAUAUAGUAGAGGUUACCAGAAAUACAGGUGGUGCAUGGUUGUCGUCAGCUCGUGUCGUGAGAUGUUAGGUUAAGUUCUAAAACGAGCGCAACCCUUAUCGUUAGUUACCAGCAUGUUAUGAUGGGGACUUUAGCGAGACUGCCAAUGAAAAAUUGGAGGAAGGUGAGGAUUACGUCAAAUCAUCAUGCCCCUUAUGAUCUGGGCUACAAACGUGAUACAAUGGCUAUUACAAAGAGUAGCUGAAACGCGAGUUUUU
rnacentral:rRNA from 1 species